CCUUCGAUAGCUCAGUUGGAAGAGCGUGGGACUGUAAUUGGAAAACAUCGCAUCCCGAGGCCACCGGAUCGACGCCGGUUCGAAGGA